CAUACGGGCGGCAGCAGUGGGGAAUAUUGGACAAUGGGGGGAACCCUGAUCCAGCCAUGCCGCGUGUGUGAAGAAGGCCCUCGGGUUGUAAAGCACUUUCAGUGAGGAAGAACGCCUGGUGGUUAAUACCCAUCAGGAAAGACAUCACUCACAGAAGAAGCACCGGCUAACUCCGUGCCAGCAGCCGCGGUAAUACGGAGGGUGCGAGCGUUAAUCGGAAUUACUGGGCGUAAAGCGCGCGUAGGUGGCUUGAUAAGCCGGUUGUGAAAGCCCCGGGCUCAACCUGGGAACGGCAUCCGGGACUGUCAAGCUAGAGUGCAGGAGAGGAAGGUAGAAUUCCCGGUGUAGCGGUGAAAUGCGUAGAGAUCGGGAGGAAUACCAGUGGCGAAGGCGGCCUUCUGGACUGACACUGACACUGAGGUGCGAAAGCGUGGGUAGCAAACAGGAUUAGAUACCCCAGUAGUC
rnacentral:rRNA from 1 species